AACGCGCGAUCGCCUUGAGUUUGAUCUGGCUCAGGACGAACGCUGGCGGCGCGCUUAACACAUGCAAGUCGAGCGAGAACCAGGGCUUCGGCCCUGGGGACAGCGGCGAACGGGUGAGUAACACGUGAGUAAUCUGCCCUCGACACUGGGAUAGCCCGGGGAAACCCGGAUUAAUACCGGAUAGCCUUUCGAGCUCUCGGGCUCGUCAGAAAAGAUGGCUUCGGCUUUCGGUUGAGGAUGAGCUUGCGGCGGAUUAGCUUGUUGGUGGGGUAACGGCUCACCAAGGCAACAAUCCGUAGCUGGUCUGAGAGGACGAUCAGCCACACUGGGACUGAGACACGGCCCAGACUCCUACGGGAGGCAGCAGUGGGGAAUCUUGCGCAAUGAGCGAAAGCUUGACGCAGCGACGCCGCGUGAGGGAAGAAGGCCUUCGGGUUGUAAACCUCUUUCAGGAGGGACGAAGCCACUCGGGUUAAUACCCCAGAGGGUGACGGUACCUCCAGAAGAAGCCCCGGCUAACUACGUGCCAGCAGCCGCGGUAAUACGUAGGGGGCAAGCGUUGUCCGGAAUUAUUGGGCGUAAAGAGCGUGUAGGCGGCCAGGUAGGUCUGCUGUGAAAACUCGAGGCUCAACCUCGAGCUGUCGGCGGAAACCAUCUGGCUAGAGUCCGGAAGAGGAGAAUGGAAUUCCUGGUGUAGCGGUGAAAUGCGCAGAUAUCAGGAAGAACACCCGUGGCGAAGGCGGUUCUCUGGGACGGUACUGACGCUGAGACGCGAAAGCG
rnacentral:rRNA from 1 species